UGGGGAAUAUUGGACAAUGGGCGAAAGCCUGAUCCAGCCAUGCCGCGUGUGUGAAGAAGGUCUUCGGAUUGUAAAGCACUUUAAGUUGGGAGGAAGGGCAUUAACCUAAUACGUUAGUGUUUUGACGUUACCGACAGAAUAAGCACCGGCUAACUCUGUGCCAGCAGCCGCGGUAAUACAGAGGGUGCAAGCAUUAAUCGGAAUUACUGGGCGUAAAGCGCGCGUAGGUGGUUUGUUAAGUUGGAUGUGAAAUCCCCGGGCUCAACCUGGGAACUGCAUUCAAAACUGACUGACUAGAGUAUGGUAGAGGGUGGUGGAAUUUCCUGUGUAGCGGUGAAAUGCGUAGAUAUAGGAAGGAACACCAGUGGCGAAGGCGACCACCUGGACUAAUACUGACACUGAGGUGCGAAAGCGUGGGGAGCAAACA
rnacentral:rRNA from 1 species